AUUGAACGCUGGCGGCAUGCUUUACACAUGCAAGUCGAGCGGCAGCGCGGGGGCAACCCUGGCGGCGAGCGGCGGACGGGUGAGUAAUGCAUCGGAACGUAUCCCGUAGUGGGGGACAACCCAGCGAAAGCUGGGCUAAUACCGCAUAUGCUCUACGGAGGAAAGCAGGGGACUCGCAAGAGCCUUGUGCUAUGGGAGCGGCCGAUGUCCGAUUAGCUAGUUGGUGGGUAAAGGCUUACCAAGGCGACGAUCGGUAGCUGGUCUGAGAGGAUGAUCAGCCACACUGGGACUGAGACACGGCCCAGACUCCUACGGGAGGCAGCAGUGGGGAAUUUUGGACAAUGGGGGCAACCCUGAUCCAGCCAUGCCGCGUGCGGGAAGAAGGCCUUCGGUUGUAACGACUUUGUCGGAGAAAGGUAUCCUAACUACGGGGAACGUGUUGACGGUACCGGCGAGAAUAAGACACCGGCUAACUACGUGCCAGCAGCCGCGGUAAU
rnacentral:rRNA from 1 species